GAUGAACGCUGGCGGCGUGCCUAAUACAUGCAAGUCGAGCGAACGGACGAGAAGCUUGCUUCUCUGAUGUUAGCGGCGGACGGGUGAGUAACACGUGGAUAACCUACCUAUAAGACUGGGAUAACUUCGGGAAACCGGAGCUAAUACCGGAUAAUAUUUUGAACCGCAUGGUUCAAAAGUGAAAGACGGUCUUGCUGUCACUUAUAGAUGGAUCCGCGCUGCAUUAGCUAGUUGGUAAGGUAACGGCUUACCAAGGCAACGAUGCAUAGCCGACCUGAGAGGGUGAUCCGCCACACUGGAACUGAGACACGGUCCAGACUCCUACGGGAGGCAGCAGUAGGGAAUCUUCCGCGAUGGGCGAAAGCCUGACGGAGCAACGCCGCGUGAGUGAUGAAGGUCUUCGGAUCGUAAAACUCUGUUAUUAGGGAAGAACAUAUGUGUAAGUAACUGUGCACAUCUUGACGGUACCUAAUCAGAAAGCCACGGCUAACUACGUG
rnacentral:rRNA from 1 species